AACUUCCUUCUCCACCAAUCACUUCUCUCCUGUUCUUUCUGAAAGGGCAGUGGUUCUUAACCUGUGGGUUGCCACCCCUUUGCAGGUGUGUGUGUGUGUGUGUGUGUGUGAAACAACCCUUUCACAGGGAUUGCAUGUUAGAUAUCCUGCCUUAUAAAUUUUAUUUAUUUAUUUUUUUGAGACAGGGUUUCUCUGUAUAGCCCUGGCUGUCCUGGAACUCACUCUAUAGACCAAACUGGCCUCGAACUCAGAAAUCCACCUGCCUCUGCCUCUCAAGUGCUGGGAUUAAAGGUGUGCAACACCACCGCCCAGCUCCUGCCUUAUAAUUUAUAACUAGCACAAUUAGAGUUAUAAAGAAGCAAUGAAAUGAUUUUAGGGUUUGGGGUCACCACCACAUGAGCAAACCAUAUUAAAGGGUCACAACAAUGGGAAGGUUGAGAACUACUGUGAUAGGGUCUCAUAUAGCCCAGGCUGGCCUUGAACUCACUAUGAAGCUGAAAAUAACUUUGAACUCAGGAUUCUUUGCCUCUGCCUCCUGAAUGCUGCGAUUGAAGAUUUAAAGCACUCUACCCAGCUUGAUAAAAUAAUCUUAACUGGAUAACACAUGUUUGAAAUAACCUUAGGGAGGAGGGGAAAGUGUGACCUCAGUAUCUUUAGACACUAAUGGAGUCUAGGUAAGAGCAAAGCAAACUCAAACUGUAUCCUGAACUUUACUUGGUAAAAGUCUAUCUUGAGGGACUGUGGGCUAAUUUUCUCAUACUUUUAGCUUCUCAUACUGUUGUACAUGUGUGGUGGAAGUGAGGUGGGUGAAUCUGUACUCAUAGAGGAAACCUUACUAGCACCUCUAACCUGUGACCGUUGCUGUAUUGCCCUGAUGGUGAUGUCUUAACACAGUGGCAUGCUUAGUGGUUCCUGAAAUGCUGUGCACCACAGGGAUAUUCUUCUGUAAGAAUCCCAGCUCUUUCUCUUCAAGGCCUUUGUUGUAUAUUGCUAAGCUUUUAAAAAUGUAUCAGUUAUUGAGAAAACUGAUACAUAGUAGGUGGCAUAUUAUGCUAGCACCAUUCCCAUAUUUAAUGCAAGUGAACUAAUUUGUAUUUAAGGAAUAUAUUUUGUCGUAGCAGAACAGGCCUGGUUAGAAUUUAGUAUUUCUGAGGUGGAAUAGUUGCAGGUAGGUGCCAGAAUCUAGAAUGUAGGCCUGGGAAGGUGUGCUUUAAUUUGGAGUAGAAAGCUUAUGAUAAUCACAAAUAAGAACUAGCAUGCUAGUGUCAUAUAAGAGAGACACAUGCUGCUGGAAGAGUGUGUAAAAAUGAGGUAAGACCAAGUCAGAAGUUAGCCAAUGUUGGAGACAGAUAAGCUUGAGCCAAGGUCUAAAGUGUAAAUGUCACUUUUAUGUCCUCAAAUGAAGGUUGAGAUGGGAGCCUUACCCAAACUGUAUGCAUACACAGUUUGGGCCGAGGCCAGAACAUUUCUUUCUCUGUUCUAAUUAUUCCUAGGCCUAGGCCUUGAAGCUUCUAGCCUCUGUACAGUCUGAUCUUUUAAGAUGACUGAUUCAAUCUGCCUUCUCUUGGCUUCUGACUGAAUUGCUCUGCUUGGUCUCAUAUUAAUUUUGCUUGGCAAUAUGUUCUAAUCUUCUGGCUUAUUAUUCUCUGGCAUUAUGUUUUCACCUGUGUCUACCUUGUUCUCUCUGCAACCUGUCUCUGUAAAACUGUCUGUGUAAAACUGCCCCCCCCCUCCUUUUUCUCCCUGCACUGCUCUUAAGUAGCCUCUUUCCUGUGCUGUUUUUGUGAGAAUAUCCUGUCUCUGACUCAUUCUGUCAAAUCCUUCUCUGAUUUGUCACUUUGUCUGCCUUUCAAUUAGGCAUCACCUUAAAACAUGGCUGCUUCCUUCUGCAAACUAACCUUACCUUCAUUGUUAGGGAAGUCUGUAUUGUAAGGGUGUGUCUGUAUUCCAGCCAGAUCAUACUGUAAUCUAUGAUGUGUGUGGCCAGAUUUUAUAGGCCUACAGGGUCUCUGGAUGUGAUUCCUUGCCAGAGCAGCCAUGUUGCUGGAUUGAAGUUCCUCUGCAGUCAAGUGUGGGGAGGACCUGAGCACCCUAAGGAAGGACAGCUUUCCAGUUACAGGAGCAGCACACACACUGUGGCUGGAACAGGAAAGGAAAGGGAGCAUCCAGAAGACAGGGCCAGCAAGAGCUGCAGCACUAUGUCUUCUAGGCUAGGGGAGGCUUCGGAGGGAGUGUUUCAGUGGUAUUGCUUAAGGGAUUGUGUGAGAAGGCAGACUUAACUCUUCCCAGAAAGGUAUUAACUGGCUGGCUGGCUGGCUGGCUGUUGAAGAGUAGAUAGGAGUGGGUUUUAUUCAACUUUUCCCCUUUCAGGUAAAUGGAAUCAACAGAUUGUUGAAUACAGUCUAACAAGAGCUAGUCUUGCUAGCUUUAGAGUUUUAAAGUAAUGUAAUUUAAAGUAAUUUUCUUUUUUUUUUUUUUAAAGAUUUAUCUAUUAUGUGAGUACACUGUAGCUGUCUUCAGACACUCCAGAAGAGGGCAUCAGGUUUCGUUACAGAUGAUUGUGAGCCACCAUGUGGUUGUGGGAUUUGAACUCGGGACUUUUAGAAGAGCAGUCGGCGCUCUUAACCACUGAGCCAUCUCUCCAGCCCCCUUAAAGUAAUUUUCUUGUAGAUUUAUAUAAACAUCUAAUUAGCAUUGAGGGCUUUGCAGUUACAAAGAUUUAAGUCUAGCAAGGUUUAGUGGUACUUGAGAGGCAGAGGCAGGUGGAUCUCUAGUGUGAGGUUAUCCUGGUUUAUAUAUAUAUAUAUAUUGAGAUCCAGGACAGCCACAGUUAACAUAGAGAGAUCCUGUCUGAAAAAGAUUUAAAAUUGGGAAUCAGCAUGAAGUAGGUAAAAACACAUGCUAUGAAACCUGAAGACCAGGGUUAGAUCCCUAGAACCUACACAGAAGUGGAAGGAAAGAAUGACUCUAUAAAGUUAUUCUCUGAUACAUGACACAUCCCCCUGUUUCCCAACAUU
rnacentral:lncRNA from 1 species